rnacentral:lncRNA from 1 species
UCAAAUUCUCUUGAUUAUAUGAUAUGCCACAUUGGCAGCAAAGGCACAUGGGUAGUGUUUCUUUAAACUUGGCAAGUACUGACAAAAAUUGUUCAACCAUUACUUAGAUUUGCUUUUAUUUAGACUAUUCAGUCAUUACAUAGGUCACCUCUGAUGGAUUUUCUUAAAUAUUUAUUCAGCUUUUGUACUAGCUUGGUCUUAAAAUAUUAAAUGGUGCCACGUUAAUUUCAUUUUAUCUCUCUGUAAACAUCUUGGAUCCCACUUCUCUAGAAACAAAAUUCCCCUUCUAUUCCUAGAGAAGCCCAUGUGAUGAUGUGUUUCUUUUACAUGUUGUUGCUUCUGCUGGUUCCUUAAUUAUCUGUGGAUUCGAAGAGUCUAAUGUGUGGCAUUGUAAUUUUUAGGUAACUAGAAAGUUUGUCUAAUGUAGAUUAUUAAAUGAUUUUGAGCUCCAGUUUAUAUCUAAAUUAAUAGUGCAGGGGCAGGAGCCUACUCGAUGGGCUGAAAAAGCGGAGGUUCGGUUGCGGUUCCCAGAUGCACAGCAGCGGUGCGGCGACUCCCAUAUGCACAAGGGUGGCGCACUGCGAGAUGUACAAAUGUGGCACAGCCGCUCUAGAGUGAUGGUUUGUAGUGCAUCACCAUCAAUUAGUCAUCUGCCUCAUCCCGUACAAUAAUCCAGUACCAUAGCUCAGUCACCUAGGCUGAUUUGUCCGCUCAUAUUUCUAAUGCCGCAUUGAUGCGUCUAUGAUUAGUGGUUGGCAUUCAUUGUAGUUUUUUUUGCGGCGCUCUAUGGGUUUUUGUUUCUCGUAUGUCUAUUAAUCUAUACUUCUUGAUAGCAACUUAGCCAUAUUCCUACAGUACAAUGCAAGAUGCAGCAGCUAGAAGCUAUACGGAUAUUACUAGGAGUAAUUGCAGCUAUCCAUUUUGUACCAGUAUAGUUGUUCAGUCAAGUAGGAAAAGUUAGAUGCAUGUACAUGUAUGAAGCUGUCUACACAGUAUGCAAGUUUGCACCAAUUUUUUCGUCGAAAAAAACUAAUCACUAUUGAAAAAGUAGCUUCUAUUUUGACAGUAAUCUUUUAGUUUAAAUACUGAGCCAUCUCGCCUGAAAAAGUUUAUCUAUUAAUUUAAUAGAUUGGCAAUGCAAAGCACACAAAUUUCUCAGUAUUUUAGAUUAUCUUAAGAGAAUUCAUAUUUAGAGAAUCAUUUGGUCUGGAGACCUUUGUGUGAGUAAUGAUGUUUUGAUGAAUUCUCCAUUCUAACCAUGGUAUUGGCUUAUGGAGAUCACAGUUUGUCUAUGGAGCAACUUUAAUGUCAGUAUACUUACAUUUGAAAUAUUGGUCUGUGUUCCUCAAAAUUACCAAUACAUAUGUUGUAUCUUCAGGUUACAGAAACUGGAUUGUUCCAGGCAGGGACGCUGCUGCUUGUGUUUUACUACAUUUAAGUGUAGUCUGUGUAUGUGUAAUUUAAAAUAUAGUUUUCAAAUCACAACUGGUGAAUCCUAGAACCAGCACUGGUUCCAUGCAAUAUUCUCGGCACUAAAACCUAGAACACCACUAGUGCCAAGUAGGAAUUUCUGCUAGGUAAUUUGUAAUUGUAGUUCUAUCACCAGUGCAAAAUCUGACGAGUCAUAAGACCACAAAAAAGUUCAAAAUUAUUGGUCAUGCAGUCAGAUUAAUUAUUGCAUAGCCUUCAACUUUUGUAUGUUGUCUUAUAAAUUUUUCUGCUCUAUUGACAUUUUUUCUGCCGGAAGUUACUGAUCUCAUUCCUUUAUUUUUGUAGGUUCCUAAGAUAUUUUGAUGAUGGAUGGCUCAGAUGUUGAUUGCAAGGUCGGGAAUGGCAUUCCUACUAGAUAGUGUUAUGUUAUAUUUUAGGACAUCAUUUCCGGUGUCAAUGUUUCAAACAUUAUGUUUUAGAAUAGUUGAGACGUUGAUUGAAACGUCCAGGAUUGGCUAGUACUAGUUAGUAUCAAAACAUGUAAUCCUUGGAGUCAUGUUCUUUGUAAUGCAACAAAGUAAAUUUAAUAUAUUAC